AAUCUUCCGCAAUGGACGAAAGUCUGACGGAGCAACGCCGCGUGAGUGAUGAAGGUUUUCGGAUCGUAAAACUCUGUUGUUGGGGAAGAACAAGUAUCGGAGUCACUGCCGGUACCUUGACGGUACCUGACGAGAAAGCCACGGCUAACUACGUGCCAGCAGCCGCGGUAAUACGUAGGGGGCAAGCGUUGUCCGGAUUUAUUGGGCGUAAAGCAGCGGGAGGCGGUUUUUUAAGGCUGAUUGGAAAACUUACAGCUUAACUGUAAGGGGUCAUUGGAAAACGGGAGAAUUGGGUGCAAAAAAGGAGAGUGGAAUUCCAUGUGUAGGGGUGAAAUGCGUAGAGAUAUGGAGGAACAACAGUGGCGGAGGCGAAUCUCUGGUCUGUAACUGACGCUGAGGCGCGGAAGCGUGGGGAUCAAACA
rnacentral:rRNA from 1 species